rnacentral:rRNA from 1 species
CUACGGGUCGCUCCAGUGGGGAAUAUUGCACAAUGGGGGAAACCCUGAUGCAGCCAUGCCGCGUGUGUGAAGAAGGCCUUCGGGUUGUAAAGCACUUUCAGUGGGGAGGAAAGGGUGUAAGUUAAUACCUUGCAUCUGUGACGUUACCCACAGAAGAAGCACCGGCUAACUCCGUGCCAGCAGCCGCGGUAAUACGGAGGGUGCGAGCGUUAAUCGGAAUUACUGGGCGUAAAGCGCGCGUAGGUGGUUAAUUAAGUCAGAUGUGAAAGCCCAGGGCUCAACCUUGGAACUGCAUUUGAUACUGAUUAACUAGAGUGUUGUAGAGGGUGGUAGAAUUUCAGGUGUAGCGGUGAAAUGCGUAGAGAUCUGAAGGAAUACCAGUGGCGAAGGCGGCCACCUGGACAGAGACUGACACUGAGGCGCGAAGGCGUGGGGAGCAAACGGGAUUAGAUACCCCCGUAGUC